AGCAGUAGGCGCUUGUUGUUGAGCUACCUGUGAUAUUUGUGUUUCCAGCAUUUUGUUAUGGGUAGCCAGGGCAUCUACUUUACUUGCUAGUUGUUUAAUCUGUUCGCUAGUGUGUACAUUCUGAUUUAAGAAAUCUUUAUUGGUUUGCUAUUGAGAAGCUAUGAAGUUCUCCAUCAUGAUUUCCAAGUUGGAUUUCCUAGGAACGUUAUUGU
rnacentral:lncRNA from 1 species